GAGGCUGGGAAAGCUGCCCCACAUCCAGCCACAGCUGGAAAGCCCCACACUGUGAUCGAUACUGGGGUUGGAGCACAGCACAGGUCCCCUUCACCCCUUCUUCAAGGGCUGUGGCACAAAAGAAAUCAUAGAACUUGGCACAGCCGAGCCUUCUGGCGUCAGAACGAAGCAGGAAGGGCAAAGAUUAUAACCGGCUCACGUGUAAACAGGACCAAGCACAGAGGAGACGUCCAGGAAGCAUUUGCCAAAUGGAAGCUGAGUCUCAGAGAAGGACAGGACUUACCCAAGCCCACAAGGCCAGUGAGGGGCCACAGCGGGGAGAGGUUCUACAGGCUACAAUGGGGAACUGGAAGGUGAGCUGGGGACAAGGAGCCCAAGAAGAGCCCAAGGAGACAAGCCCCAUUUUACAGAUGAGAAAACCAAGGCUCAAAGAGGAAAGACACUUGCCUGUGGCCACUCAAUACAGAUGUGGUGGAGUGCAGCUCUCAGGCUUGGCCCAUCAGAAGCACAAGCGGGUGCUAAUGGCUGAACAUGGACCUGCCUGGGCUGUAUCAUGAGCCGAUUCACUCCCAACUACAGGAGAGGUACCGGGGAUUGAACUCAUGACCUCACACUUGCCAGAUCAGCGCCUGUACCACUGAGCUAAACCCCCAGGCCUUUGAUUGACUUCUUAGACCUUAUUUUCUCACACUGCAAAAAGAGUGAUUGGAUAGUGAUUCUCUGAAGCUUCUUGGACACCAGGGUCAUUGGAAUUCCCCAAGCCAGGACAGGCCGGCUGGCUGAGCAGCCACCUUCCGGCCCCGUGGUCCCGCUCCAAGUCCCAUUUCAUGCACUGAGGACUGCUUUGUCUCUGCUGACACCUGGUUUCCUGCCUCUGCAGUCACAGAGAGGCCUCCCCAUGGAUGACACAUCCCGGCUACCACCACGGCCCAUGUCUCCACCAAAGCUCAAGGCAUUGCCCCCCAAACCUACGUUCUUCUGUGGCUGUCACCCUUCUUUUCCAUGGCUCAGAAGCUAAACGGGAUGAAAUGAUGCUAAUGAUAAUAUAACCAAGGAGAGGUCCAUAUUCUAGACUUUGAUCAGGAAGGGAUUUGAUCCUGUUUUCUCUCUUAUUUCAAGAAUAAGACACAUUUAGUGCUCCAAAAGGUUGUUUAAAAGGAUCACCCAUAAUCCUAACAUCCAGUGAUAAGCAUCUUAACAUUUUAGUGACUAUCUUGUCUGUUUUCUUUCAUAAGUUGUUUUUUUUUUAAACAACAUUAACAGGAAUGUGCUGCCUGGACUGUUUAUAGCCUGCUUUUUCCACUCAACAAUAUAUCACCAGCGCCCCACAUCUAUAAAUGCACUCUCACCACCAGUUUGAGUCCUGCAGAGUAUGCUGUUGUAUAUAUGUUUGGCAAUUAGGAGACCAGUGUCCUUCCAUUCCCCCUCCAAACGCAAUAUUCCCGGAGUCAAUGUUUGCAUUAUUUCCCUAGACUACGAUCUUAGAGGCAGAGCUCUUCAGCCAAAAGAUAUGCAAGCAUAUUAAAAGAUUUAGCUCCAGGACCUCAGGACUUGACAGUACUGAUUAGCACUGCCAUCAAAAGUAUCAAGAGAGGGCGCGGGAUAUAGCUCAGUGGCACAGCACCUGCUGGGAAAGGCAAGGUCCUGAGUUCAAUUCCUGCUACCA